AAGAGAUUAGCCCUCCCCCCCCCAAUUAAAUCAUAAACAUUAAUUCUUAUCACAGUAUCAGUGCUCCAUCUAUAGGCCUAACAAAGGGGUGUUGAUAGACCUUUGAUUGGCUGAGCCACCAUCUAUUUGAAAACAAGCGACUUUGAUUGGCUGGAGACAGGAAGUUAUGUUUUGAAAACAAAGGGGGUUUUCAUCAACUGACUUUGAGCUUUAAGGUAUAAUUGAGUAACAUUAAGACUUAUAAUUCUAGUUUAAAAUGUCUUGAAUAACUUUCAGCAUGAAGUAUUGUGUGGUGGAAACAAUGUGUAUGUACUACAAUGUGUAAAUCAACAAUAAGUUUGUUGCAAAGGAGAUUCAAAGUGGAUGGUUAAAGUGAUAUGGUCUCAUAAUUCAUCAACUGCCUGUUAUCUUGGAAUACUGAAGAACAGUUGUUUUAGGUUAAACUCCCAAGGUGAAAUUUACAUUGAUUGGAAGAUUCUUUGGAUAGAAUAUUCCUGCCAAAAGACAGCAGAAGGGGGACUAACUGAUGUAUGGAUUUUGACACCAGAUUUUACCCUGCACGAGCAGCCCAACUUGAGUAGAUCAGGAGUGGGAAAACCGAGCCCUGUCCUUGACCAAGGAAAGUUGGAUUUGUUGAGAGGACCUGAUCUCAAAUGAGAUCAUGCACAAGACGCACCUCGCAAAGGCCAUGACAGUAAAGUUUUCAGACCUGAUCAGCUGGUGACUGCUCUAUGAAGUGCUGUUCAACCUCCCCUAAGGGGGAGAUUCGAGAGGGUCUCCUGAUUGCUGAACACUACGCCAUGUUGUCAUCUCCAAAAAGUUUGCCCUGCCCAUAUCAACAGUGGAAGAGAACAUGAGAUGGGCCUUGAGGAGGCUUCGUGUCAUGUACUGCGGGGAGAAUAUAUAAACUGUUUAGUGCUGAGCAAUAUGUUCCUUUGUUCAUAGGUGUAAAUAUGUGUAAAGGGCUAUUCCAGGAAAAGAUAGGAUGAAGGAUUCCUUAAUGUUGUCAUUUUAUAAAUCCGGUACCACCAACACAGUUAAAAACAAUUAUUAUUAAUUUUAUCCUCUGUAUCACCCCUCACUAACUGAAACUGUAUAUAAUCAUGGUUCAUACCCUUCCUCCCAUUUUUACCUGUGGUAGCCCAAAGAGGAGAAUGUUAUUUAUUUUAAUUUAUUAUGUUAAAUGUGCUCGCAUAUUGUGAUAAUGUAUCUUGUGUAGAUGUUUUCCUGG